GGCAGCAGCCGCGGUAACACCGGCAGCUCUAGUGGUAGCUGUUUUAUGGGCCUAAAGCGUUCGUAGCCGGUUUAAUAAGUCUCUGGUGAAAAUCCUAUAGCUUAACUGUGGGAAUUGCUGGAGAUACUAUUAGGCUUGAGAUCGGGAGAGGUCAGAGGUACUCCUGGGGUAGGGGUGAAAUCCUGUAAUCCUAGGAGGACCACCUGUGGCGAAGGCGUCUGACUAGAACGAAUCUGACGGUGAGGAACGAAAGCUAGGGGCGCGAACCGGAUUAGAUACCCGGGUAGUCCUAGCCGUAAACUAUGCGGACUUGGUGUGAGGGUGGCUUUGAGCCGUCCUGGUGCCGAAGGGAAGCUGUUAAGUCCGCCGCCUGGGAAGUACGGUCGCAAGACUGAACUUAAGGAAUUGGCGGGGAGCACCACAACGCGUGGAGCCUUGCGGUUUAAUUGGAUUCAACGCCGGAGAUCUCACCAGCGGCGACAGCAGUAUGAUGACCAGGUUGAUGACUUUGUUUGACAAGCUGAGAAGAGGUGCAUGG
rnacentral:rRNA from 1 species